rnacentral:rRNA from 1 species
UGGGUAACCUGCCUCAAAGAGGGGAAUAGCCUCCCGAAAGGGGGAUUAAUACCGCAUAAUAUGUUUAAGUCGCAUGACUUUAACAUCAAAGGAUUUUCUUUUAGAAAUACCACUUUGAGAUGGACCCGCGGCGCAUUAGCUAGUUGGUGAGGUAACGGCUCACCAAGGCAACGAUGCGUAGCCGACCUGAGAGGGUGAUCGGCCACAUUGGAACUGAGACACGGUCCAAACUCCUACGGGAGGNAGCG